CAGAAAGUAGUUUAAUAUUAAAAUCUAGGUUUUGGAAAUCUAAGAUGCUUUUUAGCCUUUCUGA
rnacentral:tRNA from 1 species